rnacentral:rRNA from 1 species
UCUCCCUACUUUACGCAGCAGUGGGGAAUAUUUCACAAUUGGGGAAACCCUUAUGCAGCGACGCCGCGUUAGCUAAGAAGUAUUUCGGUAUGUAAAGCUCUAUCAGCAGGGAAGAAAAAUGACGGUACCUGAGUAAGAAGCACCGGCUAAAUACGUGCCAGCAGCCGCGGUAAUACGUAUAGUGCAAGCGUUAUCCGGAUUUACUGGGUGUAAAGGGAGCGCAGGCGGUGCGGCAAGUCUGAUGUGAAAGCCCGGGGCUCAACCCCGGGACUGCAUUGGAAACUACCGAACUA